AACGAACGCUGGCGGCAGGCCUAACACAUGCAAGUCGAACGCCCGUAGCAAUACGGGAGUGGCAGACGGGUGAGUAACGCGUGGGAACGUGCCCUUCGGUUCGGAAUAACUCAGGGAAACUUGAGCUAAUACCGGAUACGUCCGUAAGGAGAAAGAUUUAUCGCCGAAGGAUCGGCCCGCGUCGGAUUAGCUAGUUGGUGAGGUAACGGCCCACAAGGCGACGAUCCGUAGCUGGUCUGAGAGGAGAUCAGCCACACUGGGACUGAGACACGGCCCAGACUCCUACGGGAGGCAGCAGUGGGGAAUAUUGGACAAUGGGCGAAAGCCUGAUCCAGCCAUGCCGCGUGAGUG
rnacentral:rRNA from 1 species